GUAGUCCACGCCGUAAACGAUGAUAGCUCGAUGUCGGCGAUAUACCGUCGGUGUCUAAGGGAAACCGAUAAGCUAUCCACCUGGGGAGUACGUUCGCAAGAAUGAAACUCAAAGGAAUUGACGGGGGCCCGCACAAGCGGAGGAACAUGUGGUUUAAUUCGAUGAUACGCGAGGAACCUUACCCGGGCUUGAAAGUUAGCGACUGACUCUGAAAGGAGUCUUCUCUUCGGAGCGCGAAACUAGGUGCUGCAUGGUUGUCGUCAGCUCGUGCCGUGAGGUGUCGGAUUAAGUUCCAUAACGAGCGCAACCCCUAUCGAUAGUUGCCAGCAUGUAAUGAUGGGGACUCUAUCGAGACUGCCGGUGUAAACCGCGA
rnacentral:rRNA from 1 species